AAACCAACAGGGAUUGCCCUAGUAACGGCGAGUGAAGCGGCAACAGCUCAAAUUUGAAAUCUGGCGUAAGCCCGAGUUGUAAUUUGUAGAGGAUGCUUCUGGGUAGCGGCCGGUCUAAGUUCCUUGGAACAGGACGUCAUAGAGGGUGAGAAUCCCGUAUGUGACUGGCUUGCACCCUCCACGUAGCUCCUUCGACGAGUCGAGUUGUUUGGGAAUGCAGCUCUAAAUGGGAGGUAAAUUUCUUCUAAAGCUAAAUACCGGCCAGAGACCGAUAGCGCACAAGUAGAGUGAUCGAAAGAUGAAAAGCACUUUGGAAAGAGAGUUAAAAAGCACGUGAAAUUGUUGAAAGGGAAGCGCCCGCAACCAGACUUUGCGGCGGUGUUCGGCUGGUCUUCUGACCGGUUUACUCGCCGCCGUGAGGCCAUCAUCGUCUGGGACCGCUGGAUAAGACCUGAGGAAUGUAGCUCCCUUCGGGGUGUGUUAUAGCCUCUGGUGAUGCAGCGCGUCUCGGGCGAGGUCCGCGCUUCGGCAAGGAUGAUGGCGUAAUGGUUGUCGGCGGCCCGUCUUGAAACACGGACCAAGGAGUCUAACAUCUAUGCGAGUGUUCGGGUGUUAAACCCCUACGCGUAAUGAAAGUGAACGGAGGUGGGAACUUUUUGUGCACCAUCGACCGAUCCUGAUGUCCUCGGAUGGAUUUGAGUAAGAGCAUAGCUGUUGGGACCCGAAAGAUGGUGAACUAUGCCUGAAUAGGGUGAAGCCAGAGGAAACUCUGGUGGAGGCUCGCAGCGGUUCUGACGUGCAAAUCGAUCGUCAAAUUUGGGUAUAGGGGCGAAAGACUAAU
rnacentral:rRNA from 1 species